rnacentral:rRNA from 1 species
UGGGGAAUAUUGCACAAUGGCGAAAGCCUGAUGCAGCGACGCCGCGUGAGGGAUGACGGCCUUCGGGUUGUAAACCUCUUUCAGCAGGGAAGAAGCGAAAGUGACGGUACCUGCAGAAGAAGCGCCGGCUAACUACGUGCCAGCAGCCGCGGUAAUACGUAGGGCGCAAGCGUUGUCCGGAAUUAUUGGGCGUAAAGAGCUCGUAGGCGGUUAGUCGCGUCUGCUGUGAAAACUCGAGGCUCAACCUCGGGCUUGCAGUGGGUACGGGCUGACUAGAGUGCGGUAGGGGUGACUGGAAUUCCUGGUGCAGCGGUGGAAUGCGCAGAUAUCAGGAGGAACACCGAUGGCGAAGGCGAGGUCACUGGGCCGCAACUGACGCUGAGGAGCGAAAGCAUGGGGAGCGAACAGGAUUAGAUACCCUGGUAGUCCAUGCCGUAAACGUUGGGCACUAGGUGUGGGGUCCAUUCCACGGAUUCCGUGCCGCAGCAAACGCAUUAAGUGCCCCGCCUGGGGAGUACGGCCGCAAGGCUAAAACUCAAAUGAAUUGACGGGGUCAUAGCUGUUUCCU